rnacentral:misc_RNA from 1 species
GCAAACUUGGUCAUUUAGAGGAAGUAAAAGUCGUAACAAGGUUUCCGUAGGUGAACCUGCGGAAGGAUCAUUAUCGAGUUUUGAAACGGGUUGUAGCUGACCUCAAUUGGGGUAUGUGCACGCCUGGCUCAUUCCACUCUCAAACCCCUGUGCACUUAUUGUAGGCUUGGUGGGAUAGGCUGACUUUCACUAGUCGGUCUUGAAAGCUUCGCCUAUGUUUUAAUACAAACGCUUCAGUUUAGAAUGUAAUCAUUGCUAACAAGCAAAUUAAAUACAACUUUCAGCAACGGAUCUCUUGGCUCUCGCAUCGAUGAAGAACGCAGC